AGCAAAGUGAACUUGAUUACAAUUUAGAUCAGAUCUUUUACCACUUGUCAUUUCUGAAGAAUCAGAACAUGGACACCAAGUGAUACAAAGCUAGAAGCUCAUUUUAUUUCUGUUUCUUCUCUGUCUUCUUCACCUUCUUAGUGGUCUUCUUCUGGAGCUUCUUAAUUUCAUGCUUAAUGAUCCUGUUUCUCAUUUUCUUUGCCUUCAUAACCUUGUAACGAUCGAAGUCAGUCAUUUUGGCUUUCUUUUCUCUGGCUUCAAUCUUCUUCGCCCAUCGUGUUGCUGCCCACUUCUCAUUUAUAUUCUCCUUCUCCCAGGCACGACGCACACACUUCUGACGAGCGCUGUGCGGGAACUUGAGAACAAAGUCAGUCAGCUGCAUGCACUUGAAGGGCAUGGCUUGUCUUCUGACACCACUGCAGGGGCCAUCCACUAGCGCCCUGUUCUGGUCGAUAACAUCCACGAUGGCCACCAGCUUGCCAGCAUGCCUCCCGAAGGAGACGAAGGCGAUUCUGCCGAUCUCGACGAAGCGUUUGAACACCAUGAUGGCCGCCCGCGAGCAGAAAGGGAAGGGCGGGCCCCGCGCCGGCCGGAAGCCGCCCUCGAGGCGCUACCGCGCAUGUGCGGAGGCGGGAUCGAGCUCGCCCUGCUCAGCGCGCCCGCGCGGAACGCUCUCUUCGGCUCAAGGCCGGUCAGGAAUGGCGGCGUGCCAAUACGCAUGCGCGGUGGGCUGCGCGGCUCUGCGUGCGUGUACGUGCUGGGGUGCGCUGCAGAGGUGGCGUGCAGCCAUGUCCCGAGAGACGGGCAGCCCGCGAGCAUCCGCACAGCGCUGCCACUGCGAACUGGUGCUGCUGCCGCACGAAGGUGCCACCGGGCCCUGCACACCAUCAGGGCGUGGCAGAAAAGCUCCGUCAGCUCGCUGUGUGCGCACGUACGUGUUCUGCAGGGUUUGAUUCUGUAAGCAUUAGCCAAAAACGUGCCGUGGGAAAGAAGAGAGUAAGCAAAAUGCACCGCAGAGCACUGAUGGAAAACAGGUCAAGUCUGCUGCACAUGCUGCCUUCUGGAUUCUUCUGUUCUGCAGUGAUCUGGAAAAAUAUUUCUCCUUUUCCUCAUUUGAUGAACCAAACCUCUGUGGGACUUUGCAAGAGGGAGGAAGGGAAGACGACAUAAAUCCCUAGACUUUUUAAAGACCUUUGCAUGCUUUAUGAUGGAGAUGCUCAAAUGUCACUCCUGACUGUGCCGAUGGCGUGGGCUGUGCCUUACGAUCAAGCAACAAAAACAUCUGAGAGCAGCAAUGCAGUGGCACGGAAAAUCAUUGCCAAAGCAAUGACGGAGUUACAGCUUCAGAGGAUAAAGGAAGAGCAACUGACGUCAUCUACCUGGAGUUGUGCAGUGUGUUUGACACUGACCUGCGUGACAUCCUGGUCACCAAACUGGAGAACAUUGGAGACAAGUGGCGUUCCUCAGGGAUCGGUGCUGGGAUGGGUGUCAUUUUGGGGUUCAAAAAAGCUUUCUCCCUUUAGUACGCUUUUAAAACUCUACCGUUAGCCUGCAGAAACGUUGCCAAGCAAGGAACUCUAAAUACAGCCCAUGUACUCAAACAGCACUGAACACUGUAGACAGCACGCAGAAGAAAGCAGUGGUAACUAAAGGUGAGCACUAUUUGUGAGACAUUGGCUUCACCCAUCCAAGUGAAUACAAAUUGAUACUAAAAUAAGAAAACUCCCCAGUUUGGGGCAUGAUUAUCUCACUGCGGUCUUAUUUACUUCUUUUUCUGUCCUCCGAAUUGAUCAUUUCCCCUUAUCUUAUCAAUAAUCUUAUCGAUUAUGCCAUGCAGUACAAGUUACUGCUUUCUUACGCCAAGUUUGCAUGUUGCUUUAUGAGAAGUUUGUGACUUUUGCCCGGUCUCCAGCAAUGCCUGCAGGCACAUCAUCUCUUGCUGGUUUCUUCAUGCAGAUCGAUUUAUUGCUUCUUCUCCAUAGCUGAGAUUUUGCUUUGUAUUACACGUUCCUGUUCUUGAUGCUUGAUGGAUCUUCUUCUAAACAAUCUGUAUCGUGACCUACCUCAAUAUCUGGAAAGUUCCUCUCCUUGGCACACAGCCUUUCAGAUCUAUACUACAGCAGUGAACCCGAAGUAAACCCUAAGAAGUGUCAGUGUCCCUGAAAGAAAUAUUAAGUGUUCAAAAGUAGAAGUUGUUAGUAAGUGUUGUAUGUGUAUGUAGAUUUACGUGCAUGUAUAGAAGGAAUAAAUUGUGAGUGGCUUCGUUUAAGCCACUGGUGUUUCCUCACUGAGAAUACAGAUUCUGGAGGCAACGAGCGUUGCCCGCUCCAGAAACUCCCAGAUGAGUUCUGCAGCUUGCAGAUUUAUAUCACACAGAAAAGCAUUUCAGUCUUCC
rnacentral:lncRNA from 1 species